CCUACGGGAGGCAGCAGUGAGGAAUAUUGGUCAAUGGACGAGAGUCUGAACCAGCCAAGUAGCGUGAAGGAUGACUGCCCUAUGGGUUGUAAACUUCUUUUAUAUGGGAAUAAAACGUUCCACGUGUGGGAUUUUGUAUGUACCAUAUGAAUAAGGAUCGGCUAACUCCGUGCCAGCAGCCGCGGUAAUACGGGGGAUCCGAGCGUUAUCCGGAUUUAUUGGGUUUAAAGGGAGCGUAGGGGGAUUGUUAAGUCAGUUGUGAAAGUUUGCGGCUCAACCGUAAAAUUGCAGUUGAAACUGGCAGUCUUGAGGACAGUAGAGGUGUGCGGAAUUCGUGGUGUAGCGGUGAAAUGCUUAGAUAUCACGAAGAACUCCGAUUGCGAAGGCAGUUCACUGGACUGCAACUGACACUGAGGCUCGAAAGUGUGGGUAUCAAACAGGAUUAGAUACCCCAGUAGUC
rnacentral:rRNA from 1 species